AGCAGGGUGGGGGGCCUAAUGGUUAUAACCUCUACCUUUGGACUUGAAGGACGUGGGUUUGAAUCCCACCUCCUGCUG
rnacentral:tRNA from 1 species